UAGAUUUUAGAAGGCAUGUCCCAUCCCACCGAUUCAGCCGCCGUCACCCACAGCUGGUCUCCUCCUAUAUUUCCCCUCCUGCCCAAUCCUGGAGCCUCCUCGCCCGCCGUUGCCCGAGGCCACCUCCUCUGCUCAAUCCCACGGGGAUCACGAGCAGCUCAUCCCCGGCAACCAGAUCGCUGGACGUGUCUAGCUCCCAGCAGACGCAUGCUCUCGCUCGAGCUCCUUGAUUCUCCGAGCACGAGUGCCACCACAUGACCGCCUCUUCGGCCAGCUGCCCUGCCGGAGCUCUAGAGCACCGUCCGGCCACGUCCGCACCACCAGGCUGGCCUUGUCCCUCUCCUUCCCUCCCAUGUUUCACUUUUCCUCACGUUUUUCCCUCUCUCACACAUCUCCCUCUAUCCAUCUUGCUUUCUCUGUUUUAGGGAGACCACCAUGGCGCCGAGGACCUCACCUGCACCGCAAACUGCGAGCUCGCCGUAUGCCAGCAACCCAGCAGGAACCAUGGGAGCCCGCAUGACUUGCUCCCCCGGAUGCACCUCCUCUUGCGUGGACCUGGUGACGCCAUGGCCAUGCCGCCCUCGACACCCGCCACCCGGAACCAUCCCCAACCAGAUCCAGCAUGCAGCAGAGUUCCGCAAGCCUGUCAGAGUAUGAGGAUUCAUUCGACUAC